rnacentral:rRNA from 1 species
CCUACGGGGUGCAGCAGUGAGGAAUAUUGGUCAAUGGACGCAAGUCUGAACCAGCCAUGCCGCGUGCAGGAAGACGGCUCUAUGAGUUGUAAACUGCUUUUGUACGAGGGUAAACGCAGAUACGCGUAUCUGUCUGAAAGUAUCGUACGAAUAAGGAUCGGCUAACUCAGUGCCAGCAGCCGCGGUAAUACGGAGGAUUCAAGCGUUAUCCGGAUUUAUUGGGUUUAAAGGGUGCGUAGGCGGUCGGAUAAGUUAGAGGUGAAAUCCCGAGGCUCAACUUCGGAAUUGCCUCUGAUACUGUUCGGCGAGAGAGUAGUUGCGGUAGGCGGAAUGUAUGGUGUAGCGGUGAAAUGCUUAGAGAUCAUACAGAACACCGAUUGCGAAGGCAGCUUACCAAGCUACUUCUGACGUUGAGGCACGAAAGCGUGGGGAGCAAACAGGAGUAGAUACCCGAGUAGUC